UAAUGAGGGUAAAUCGUACGAUAGUUGUG
rnacentral:sRNA from 1 species